CUGUCUCUGCAGUGGGGACUUGUUUCCAUGGGGAGAGAUGCUCAGAGGGUGAAGUCCGGCAGUGCCAGUGUUCCGAGGGUUUUCAGGGACCCCGCUGUCAAUACGUGUUCCAGAGACUAUCCUAAUGUGCUGGAAGACGGUUCUGAACAUGGCAGAAAAGGUGCCUGAGCUUCUCAGUAAGCUUACAGUCUCAACAAGGGAAAAAGACAAUAAACUUGUCUUCUUUUCUACCUUCUCACCCCUGGGUGUCUGUCCUGUUGCCUUUCCAGCUAGCAUCUGGCUCAUUUCUUUUCUGAAGACUGGACAGAGCUUUUGAACAAGGUGUGUCUGGUGGUGAG